rnacentral:rRNA from 1 species
AUUGAACGCUGGCGGCAGGCUUAAUACAUGCAAGUCGAGCGGGGUGAUGGUGCUUGCACUAUCACUUAGCGGCGGACGGGUGGGUAAUGCUUAGGAAUCUGCCUAUUAGUGGGGGACAACAUCUCGAAAGGGAUGCUAAUACCGCAUACGUCCUACGGGAGAAAGCAGGGGAUCACUUGUGACCUUGCGCUAAUAGAUGAGCCUAAGUCGGAUUAGCUAGUUGGUGGGGUAAAGGCCUACCAAGGCGACGAUCUGUAGCGGGUCUGAGAGGAUGAUCCGCCACACUGGGACUGAGACACGGCCCAGACUCCUACGGGAGGCAGCAGUGAGGAAUAUUGGACAAUGGGGGGAACCCUGAUCCAGCCAUGCCGCGUGUGUGAAGAAGGCCUUAUGGUUGUAAAGCACUUUAAGCGAGGAGGAGGCUCUUUUGGUUAAUACCCAAGAUGAGUGGACGUUACUCGCAGAAUAAGCACCGGCUAACUCUGUGCCAGCCGCCGCCGUAA